UACGGGGGGGGCAAGCGUUGUUCGGAAUUACUGGGCGUAAAGGGCUCGUAGGCGGCCAACUAAGUCAGACGUGAAAUCCCCAGCUCAACCUGGGAACUGCGUCUGAUACUGGAUGGCUUGAAUCCGGGAGAGGGAUGCAGAAUUCCAGGUGUAGCGGUGAAAUGCGUAGAUAUCUGGAGGAAUACCGGUGGCGAAGGCGGCAUCCUGGACCGGCAUUGACGCUGAGGAGCGAAAGCUAGGGGAGCAAAGCGGG
rnacentral:rRNA from 1 species